GAUGAAGAACGCAGCGAAACGCGAUAGUUAAUGUGAAUUGCAGAAUUCAGUGAAUCAUCGAGUCUUUGAACGCACAUUGCGCCCCUCGGUAUUCCGGAGGGCAUGUCUGUUUGAGCGUCAUUUCAACACCCUCGCUUUAAGCGGUAUUGAGGCGUGGAAUCCAUAUCAAUGGAACCAAGCUUUUAAAGUUGAAGGCAAGCAGAACGAAUGUCUUGAACAAAACAUAGUAAAAUCUUCACGGUUUCUCCUGUUUGUCCUCGAUGUUACGUCUCGCCCAAACAAUUUUUUUUUUAGUUUUGACCUCAGAUCAGACAAGGAUACCCGCUGAACUUAAGCAUAUCAAUAAGCGGAGGA
rnacentral:misc_RNA from 1 species